rnacentral:rRNA from 1 species
UACGUAGGACCCAAGCGUUAUCCGGAAUUACUGGGCGUAAAGAGUUGUGUAGGCGGCUUAUUAAGCAAGGUGUGAAAUCGUAUGGCUCAACCAUAUACACAUACUUUGAACUGAUGAGCUAGAGGGCGAGAGAGGUUAUUGGAAUUUCUAGUGUAGGAGUGAAAUCCGUAGAUAUUAGAAGGAACACCGAUGGCGUAGGCAGAUAACUGGCUCGCACCUGACGCUCAGACACGAAAGCGUGGGUAGCAAACGGGAUUAGAUACCCCGGUAGUCCACGCCGUAAACUAUGGAUGCUAGCUGUUAGUCGUAUCGACCCGAUUAGUAGCGAAGCUAACGCGUUAAGCAUCCCGCCUGUGGAGUACGAGCGCAAGCUUAAAACAUACAGGAAUUGACGGGGACCCGCACAAGCGGUGGAGCGUGUUGUUUAAUUCGAUGGUAAGCGAAGAACCUUACCCAGACUUGACAUCCUUGGAAGGACUACGAAAGUAGACUGUGCCUUUUGGAAUCAAGUGACAGGUGUUGCAUGGCCGUCGUCAGCUCGUGUCGUGAGAUGUUUGGUUAAGUCCAUCAACGAGCGCAACCCUUAUAGUUAGUUGUAUUUUUCUAGCUAGACUGCCCUGGCAACAGGGAGGAAGGAGGGGAUGAUGUCAGGUCAGUAUUACCCUUAUGUCUGGGGCUACAAACACGCUACAAUGGCCGGUACAAAGGGAAGCCAACCCGCGAGGGGGAGCAAAUCCCAUCAAAGCCGGUCUCAGUUCGGAUUGCAGGCUGAAACUCGCCUGCAUGAAGCUGGAAUCGCUAGUAACGGUAAGUCAGCACAUUACCGUGAAUACGUUCCCGGGUC